rnacentral:rRNA from 1 species
GACGAACGCUGGCGGCGUGCCUAAUACAUGCAAGUCGAACGCAUUUUCUUUCACCGUAGCUUGCUACACCGAAAGAAAAUGCGUGGCGAACGGGUGAGUAACACGUUGGUAACCUGCCCAUCAGCGGGGGAUAACACUUGGAAACAGGUGCUAAUACCGCAUAAUUCCAUUUACCGCAUGGUAGAUGGGUGAAAGGCGCUUUUGCGUCACUGAUGGAUGGACCCGCGGUGCAUUAGCUAGUUGGUGGGGUAACGGCCUACCAAGGCUGCGAUGCAUAGCCGACCUGAGAGGGUGAUCGGCCACACUGGGACUGAGACACGGCCCAGACUUCUACGGGAGGCAGCAGUAGGGAAUCUUCGGCAAUGGACGCAAGUCUGACCGAGCAACGCCGCGUGAGUGAAGAAGGUUGUCGGAUCGUAAAACUCGGUUGUUAGAGAAGAACAAGGAUGAGAGUGGAAAGUUCAUCCCUUGACGGUAUCUAACCAGAAAGCCACGGCUAACUACGUG